GUGGACGAUCAGUGGAUGAACUACAUCUCAUUCUGUGGGUGAUGGACUCACGCUGAGUUAGAGGGCUGUUUGGUUGCAGAGCUGAUUUACGUCCACAGCAAGCUGCUCAUCAUCGACAACAACACGGUCAUCAUCGAACCAUCCUCGGUGCCUUUACGGACCCCAGCGUAGACGUGAGUGACCUCAUCGGUGACCGUUUCUGUAAGGAGGUUUGGAUGACCACUGCAGGACGCAACGCCACCAUCUACGAGAAGGUGUUCCACUGCCUGCCCUCCAGCCUGGUGAGGAACCUGCAGGAGAGGCUUCCUGGUUCAGUUCCCGCUGGACUUCCUGAGUGAGCAGAACCUGCUGCCCUCCAUCGGCACCAAGGAGGCCAUGGUCCCCGCCGAGAUCUGGACCUGAUUGAAACUGUGACCGUAAACACGGAGUCCGUAUGAGGCGAAACGGCGCCCCCUUCUGGACGAGCUGUGAAGAAACUGCAUGAUGAACUGAAAUGAAGCGAAUCGUAUGAAGGCGGGCAGCUCACUGUGAAGUGCCUUAGGAGGGUGUAAACACCUCCGUAUCAGUUCCUACCUAUGACUACAUCAUAUUUGUCUUGUCAGUAGCAACAAAUGCAGAAUAUAGAAUAUAAAAAUGACGUUUUUACAAUAAACCGUAACAGUAAAACAGCAAAAAAAUGAUUUUAGCAAAUGGAAACUCAGAAAGAGGCCAGCAUGUCUAAUAUUUAGUGUACACUAAGCUUUACAGGACUGUUCAGCUUAUUUCUACACAUUUUUCAUUAUUUUAUGUUGUGAUCCAAGAAAAUGAUCUUACAGCUUGGGCCACUUUUAACAUGCGUUGUUAAAAAAGCGCAGUUACCUGCCAGUAAGACACACGCAGUCAGAUUUUACCACUUAAAAUAAGCCGAAAUAUCUAGAAAUGGUUUGAAUUAUCUCUAAAUAUUAGCCAUGUCCCUACAGUCGAGGUUUUCUCCUGAUAAUGUGCCUUUCCUUUCACUACUACUUCCACUAUUCACUGUUCAGUGUCUGAGGUUUGAUUCUUUAGUUUUAGUGCUGGAGCUGUGAAUGCAGCUCACAAGUAAUGGAAGCAUAUAGCCCACCAGUUAGCAUGGUGCUAACUGCAUGCCUUCAUGCUGAUUUCAAAAUUCAUUAUAAGCAGAUAGAAAGCAGAAAAUAAGAAAGCUAGCGAAUUAUGAACAUUAUGAAUUUUGCAUUAUUUUUAAAAAUGAACAGACAACAUUCAGUCUUCCAGGUGGCUGCUAUUGUUUUGGCUAAGCUAAUGUGCUUUAGUCCAUGUUUGUAGAACAGAGAGUCACAGAAACCACUGUUUACUGCUACAGCACCAGUUAGCACGAUGCUAAUCACUGGGCAAUAAGAUUCCAUCUCGUUUUUAAUGUAAAAGAAUUCAUUCAUUUCCCUGAACAGCGUAAAACAUUUUUACACCGCUGUUAUAUUUAAGAACUUUUAAACUCGAGUUAUAGGAGUUUAAAACGGCGCCUCAUGUACGUUCAUGACGUCAGUGAGCGCGAACAGCCAAUGAGCUGCUCCGCUUGCAACCAGUCGUCACUCUCUGGCAGUAAAGCCUGCCUCCUGCUGCCCAAAACCCGUUUACUGUAGAAUAAAGGAAACAUACUGGUGAGAUUUCUUUGUUUUUUAGUGAAACUCGUCCUUCUACUGUCUAUAAUUAAAGGAAAGUUCUGGGAAAGUGAUUAGAAACUAUUUUAACUGUUCGUUUUUAGCCGUUGGGCUCCAUUCACUCCCAUUCAUUGAGGACUCCGCUCGCUGGCGACCUCUGCUGUUUCGUAGUGUUUUUGAUAUAACAGGGGAAGUAGGAAGUGGCCAGGCUCCUCAUAAACCGGCUCUGGUACAGCAAGGUCUCCUUCUUUCUCUGGAGUUUUCCGUCUCUGAACGCGGGGAGGCUCGGCCGAGUGCUGUUUUCUCUCCUCCUGCGCUCAGAUGUCGCUGAAAGCCAUUUCUGCCGCAGCUUCUCUGAACAGACACUGUUCAAAUCUUUAAUAGCAGUUUUUUUUUGCACAUUCUUCUUAUCUUUUCUGUUCAUUUACAGUCUGUACAGAGCAGGAAGUAGACGACCGAGGGAAAAUGAAUGGGGAAUAAAUCUGAAAUGUGAAUAAAUCCUUGAUUAAACCUGUUAUUAUAUAAUAA